GACGUGGCGGGUGCUAUACUGCAGUCGAACGCUUUUUCUUUCACCGGAGCUUGCUCCACCGAAAGAAAAAGAGUGGCGAACGGGUGAGUAACACGUGGGUAACCUGCCCAUCAGAAGGGGAUAACACUUGGAAACAGGUGCUAAUACCGUAUAACACUAUUUUCCGCAUGGAAGAAAGUUGAAAGGCGCUUUUGCGUCACUGAUGGAUGGACCCGCGGUGCAUUAGCUAGUUGGUGAGGUAACGGCUCACCAAGGCCACGAUGCAUAGCCGACCUGAGAGGGUGAUCGGCCACACUGGGACUGAGACACGGCCCAGACUCCUACGGGAGGCAGCAGUAGGGAAUCUUCGGCAAUGGACGAAAGUCUGACCGAGCAACGCCGCGUGAGUGAAGAAGGUUUUCGGAUCGUAAAACUCUGUUGUUAGAGAAGAACAAGGAUGAGAGUAGAACGUUCAUCCCUUGACGGUAUCUAACCAGAAAGCCACGGCUAACUACGUGCCAGCAGCCGCGGUAAUACGUAGGUGGCAAGCGUUGUCCGGAUUUAUUGGGCGUAAAGCGAGCGCAGGCGGUUUCUUAAGUCUGAUGUGAAAGCCCCCGGCUC
rnacentral:rRNA from 1 species